GACGAACGCUGGCGGCGUGCCUAAUACAUGCAAGUCGAGCGGAGUUAGAGAAGCUUGCUUCUCUAACUUAGCGGCGGACGGGUGAGUAACACGUGGGCAAUCUGCCCGUAAGACUGGGAUAACUCCGGGAAACCGGGGCUAAUACCGGAUAAUCCUGACUCUCUCCUGAGAGUCAGUUGAAAGAUGGUUUCGGCUAUCACUUACGGAUGAGCCCGCGGCGCAUUAGCUAGUUGGUAGGGUAAUGGCCUACCAAGGCGACGAUGCGUAGCCGACCUGAGAGGGUGAUCGGCCACACUGGGACUGAGACACGGCCCAGACUCCUACGGGAGGCAGCAGUAGGGAAUCUUCCGCAAUGGACGAAAGUCUGACGGAGCAACGCCGCGUGAGUGAAGAAGGUUUUCGGAUCGUAAAACUCUGUUGUUAGGGAAGAACACGUACGAGAGUAACUGCUCGUACCUUGACGGUACCUAACCAGAAAGCCACGGCUAACUACGUG
rnacentral:rRNA from 1 species